rnacentral:rRNA from 1 species
CACGUAGGCGGAUUGUUAAGUCAGGGGUGAAAUCCCGGGGCUCAACCCCGGAACUGCCUUUGAUACUGGCAAUCUCGAGUUCGGGAGAGGUGAGUGGAAUUCCGAGUGUAGAGGUGAAAUUCGUAGAUAUUCGGAGGAACACCAGUGGCGAAGGCGGCUCACUGGCCCGAUACUGACGCUGAGGUGCGAAAGCGUGGGGAGCAAACA